GCCUUGAAGGAUACUGUUAACAUUUCAGAACUGUUUGGAAGGGAUCGUUACAAAUAUGUGGAGCCCUUAGCAAUUCAUCCAGAUUGUGAUUUGAUUUUCCUUGCUGACCGGAGGGGGAAGGCUAUCUCAUAUGAUAUGGACAGCAAGAAAGUGCAUGUUAUUGGCACUUACCAAACAUUCGAUGGUGCUGUACCUUAUGUUCCAUGUUUUGCGGAAUGGCCGUCAGAUGGUCACUGACCUUGCUGGAACUAUAUUGUCUUCAUAAAUUUAGCCAUGGAGAAUAUGCAACACCUAGCAACACCUUCCAGUAGCUAAUGCUUACUUGUAUGAAUGAGUCUAGGUAUUUGAUGUAUCGGCUGCAUCUAGUGCUAAUCAUUAUGGUCACCUGUUAGCUCUUGGUGUGGGGUAACUGUGAGGGUAUAUUAUCUAUGUUUGAAAUUGGUUGGAUUUUCACCUCUUUAUUUUUCGUUUAAGACUGGAGAUGCUUAUCUCUUGUUGCAAGUACAUUUAUCUUUUAUGGACAACUUGUUAUCCAUCAGUUCUGAAUAUUGAUAUCGCCUUGUUCUUAUGCACAUGUUAAAGACUGGAGAUGCCUAUCUCUUGUACGUUUAUUAUUCUUCCAUUUUAUUUCACUUCAUUAGGGGAAGAGGAUUUUUCGAGGGGAGGAGAAUAACAUGACCCUCCAGUGUAUUUUUAGUUCUUGUUUCCACUGAGCUCUGUUGUGACCAUUCUCCUACUUGAAUUCUGACUAUGCUGUCAGAGUAAAUCUAUUUUUGAGCAUCUUGCGAUUUUGUUUACUGUGAUGUUAGUUUACAGAUUUUUCUCAUCUCGUUCCAAAAUUGUGCAGUGAGUUCCUAAAUAUGCAAAUUGAAUUGUUUGCAUAUUGUCUGAGAUUAUAUCUGUUUGUCCAAGAUGACAUUUUUCCUCAGUGAAAUAUAAUUACCAAAGGUUUUUAUCAGUGCAUUUUCCCCUCAUAAACCUAAACACUCCUUCCAUGUGUCACUGCCAUUUGGCAGCAUCCACUAGAACGUAAAACACAAAUUGUAUGACGACCAGUUCCUGGGCAUCUAGCAUUGCGAUUGUUAGUGUUGGUUCCAGCGACAGUUUUCUUUACCUGUAUAUAAGCGUGAGCCUGAGAGACUAUCUAGAGGAUGGUCACUGACAGAGAAAAUAAGCCAAGAACUAUAGUCAUCAAGGUGUCUCUUUCUUGUUUUCAAGCCCAAAACGCCGCUGCAUCCCGAACUCCCAGUUCCUUCCAAUCAGAAACCAAUGAGGGUUACAACAUGGAAACCCUCUAAUAUUGUCCAUAAUUAAGAGGAAACUUAUAUCUUAGGUAGAGAAAUAACAGAGUAGUAUUGAUCCAGUUAACAAACAUCAAAACAGAGAUGAAACUAUUUUGACAUCUCCUAAUAAGGAAUUAAAGAGCAUGGGCGUCUUGCUUUACUAAGCCAAAGCAUUCUAGGAAAACAAAAUAACCAGAGCCAUUUGCCUUGUAAGCCUUGAGAAAUGCAAUGGACAACCUAGGCAAAAUAAAUAAAUAAGUGAUGGUUUUUUUAUUUUUCUAAAUAUUUUUUGAAUUUAAGAUUUUUUUAACAUUUCGUGAACUUUUUUGUANNNNNNNNNNCUUGUGGACAAAACGUAGCAUAUAACUUAAAAAUGGCUAAUAUAUGUCAGUAGGAUCCUCUCCUACUGUCUUCGAUUGCUCAAAAAAAAAUACCGGCCUUUUUUUUGAGGUGUGGCAAUUAGUGACAUGGGAUCGAGCAACAAGCGACCAGAGCGAGCGAGGAGGAGCAACGAUCGAGAGCUCGAGCUCAAUGGGCCGGAUCAAUCAACUUUCUAUGUGGGCGCCGGAACCAUGAAUCGACGCUAAAGGCAUCCAUUAGACAAAAUCAUUAAUUGAGGAGCACUUGAUACGUCUUCAACGUAUCUAUAAUUUUUUAUUGUUUCAUGCUAUUAUAUUAUCCAUCUAAAAUGUUUUAUAUGCCUUUAUAUGCUAUUUUAUAUGAUUUUUGGGACUAACCUAUUAACCUAGAGUCCAGUGUCAGUUUCUGUUUUUUCCUUAUUUUUGAGUAUCGCAGAAAAGGAAUACCAAACGGAGUCCAAUUGACCUGAAAAUUCACGGAGAUUGUUUUUGGACCAGAAGAAGCCCGCGAAGCAUCGGAGAUGGACCAGAAGAGUCCCGAGGCCACCACGAGGGUGGAGGGCGUGCCCUACCCCCCUGGGCGCGCCCCCUACCUUGUGGCUGCCUCGUGGACCCCCCUGACUUGUUCCCGACGCCAACACAUCUUAUUUAUCCCCAAACUUCCAGAACAUAACCUAGAUCAGGAGUUCAGCCGCUGCAAGCCUCUGUAGCCACCAAAAACCAAUCGGGGCCCUGUUUCGGUAACCUGCCGGAGGGGGAUCCAUCACCGGUGGCCAUCUUCAUCAUCCCGGCGUUCUCCAUGACAAGGAGGGAGUAGUUCACCCUCGGGGCUGAGGGUAUGUACCAGUAGCUAUGUGUUUGAUCUCUCUCUCCCUCUCUCUCUCUCUCUCGUGUUCUCGAUUUGACACGAUCUUGAUGUAUCGCGAGCUUUGCUAUUAUAGUUGGAUCUUAUGAUGUUUCUCCCCCUCUAUCUCUUGUAAUGGAUUGAGUUUUCCCUUUGAAGUUAUCUUAUCGGAUUGAGUCUUUAAGGAUUUGGGAACACUUUAUGUAUGUCUUGCAUGUGCUUAUCUGUGGUGACAAUGGGAUAUUCACGUGAUCUACUUGAUGUAUCACUACACCACAGCACUACAUCUGUGACAAACAAGUUGGUCGGAAAAACAGCAUCCGCCGACAGGCAGUCGGUCGAGAAAGAGUAUUGUCGACCGACCGCGUCUGUUGGGCAAAGUCCAGACGGGAAAGCCUUUUGCCGACCGACAUAUCUUUGACGACCGACAGUUGGAUGACGAUACAAGACAUUGCCGACCGAACAUCUGUUGGCAGUACUAUGAACCUUUCCCGACCGAUUUUCCGUUGGUACUGUCCUAGAACUUUUCCCGACCGACUGUUUGACGGUGCAAUCUUUGCCGACCGAUAUUCUGCUGGCUCUGCUAUGUAUCUUUCCUGACGGAUAAUUGGAUGGUGUUGUUUUUACCAACCGACUCUCCGUUGGCUCUGGCGUAAGCCUUUGCCGACCGAUAAUAGGACGUUAUUUUCUUUUCCCAGCCAACAGUUCGUCGGCGUUUAGUUUAACUGAGCAAUAAAUAUGAACCUAUUAUAUAUUUCUCAUCUGCUUUAUACAAUAUCAAUCAAGUUGCAUAUCUCGUCACUACACAAUAUCAAUCAAGUUAACUAACUUGCAUGUACUCACAAAAAAUAAAUCAUGACCAAAGAAGGAUAAAACAGUAAUUCAUUCUCAUAAGCCUUCCAACAUUUAUAUGUUCCAGUCACUGAAUCACUCGAUAGGUUUACAAAAUGAUAGAUGCAUGUCCAUCGAUUCAUUGUUUGCUCCAUUACACAAAAUACCCAGAUGACAAGACCCCACCAUAUAGGCCCACAAAAUGAUCCUAAAAGACACUGUUUUUGCUCCAUUACACAAGAUGUCUAGCGAACACGAACUGCCAUCUUCAUGGUUCCUUCAUGGUCCUUUUGUACGUCUUACCUACAAAGGAUACAAAGUCACUGGUAAAUUCAUGCAUUCAUAGAGACAAUGGUGAAAAUAAUAAUUGCAUAAAGCAUCAAUGGCAGUGGGGUUUUAGUGUUAUAGAAAACAGGGCAAGUCCUAAAUAAUGCGACAACAUGUUUAAUUAGAAUCUGUACUGUGUUAGACAUAAUAGAGCAUCAAUGCCUGAUGGCCAUGGAAUAUAUUUCAUCAAGAAAUAUGAGCAAUAUGCGUCAUCUGGCUGCAGUUUAGCAUACGGCCAAUUAUUGGGAGCAACACAUUCAGGUACAGACUCACGAUGGUCAGUUUUUCUAGAAAAAACCACCAAUUUUCUUUCUUUCUUUUCUCUGGGCUGGAAAAGACUGCAGUGCGCCUGACGAUUAUAUUUAAAAAACCAUCAGAGAAUUACAUAUGCACGUCAAUGCCACAAAUUACAUUAAAGUAAGCCAUUAAUUUCAGAGAAGCAUAUGUACUGUACAUACAAAUCUUUACAGGUAUAAGAGCCAGAACCUGUGAAACCAUCAGGUUAUGCAUAAGAGAAAUAAAGAAGAUAGAAUGUAAUAUAUGGGCCUAGAAACAGGAUUCAGAAAAUAGCAAAACUAUAAAAAAAAAUUGUAUGACUACUUUAUGGACAUGAAUCAGGAUUCGGUAUAAGGAUACAAUGUACUAUAUGGACAUGAAUCUAAUUUAUUGCUAGUGGUAGAACUAAAAAAAUUGUAUGACUACUUUAAGAUCCAAAACUUGGAUUGCACCUGACCAUUAUAUUCAGAACAGUAAAUGUACUUUAGUGCACAAAUUAAAUUAAGUUUAGAAAUUAUUUUACACUUGUACAUCUCCUACAAGUUUAUGCAUUGCUGUCUAGUACAUCGCUGGUGCUAUUUGAGUAUCUUGGUGGCUAAUGUGUGGGGUCACAAUGGCUGUGCUAUAACUUUUUGGUGUGUGACAGUACCUUAGCAACUUGUGUACUUUGAGCAAAAGAAAGCACCAAGAAGCAUCUCUUUUACAAUACCUUAGCGGCGGGAUGAGGAAGAUGCCCCUGGUUUGUAGGGUUUCAUCUAGCAAAAUGAUCAUGAGUCAGUAUCACAAAUCAAACAAUUUGAGAUAAGUGGACAUAACACAUAUUGUAGGUGAUUACCUUGCUAGAUGGCCACGCAAUGGUCUUAUGACAGCAUGAGCGAUAAUUUGUAAACCAUCAUAUUCAUAAGGCACAGUGGCAUCCCUUCUGAUAGCAACAUUGACAAGAACCUCAUAAGUUGUUGGUCCAAGGAGCUCUCCACCCACAAUAGUGUCUGGGUCAACUGAGAUAAUCGUUGCCUUGGCAACAGGAGUUUCGGGACCAGUCCAUGCAUAUAGAAGCACAUCCAUACCAAUGUGAAUCAAUGAUUAUUUUAAAAACAUGAAAAUGAAACAGAAUUUAAACAUAUAGGUAAGGAUGUGAAGAUUACAAGGCUUUCAUCUUCAUGGACUGAUGAGCUUCUUGCAGGGGGCUUUGCAACAACUCUUCUAUGAACAAAUGGCUCUUCAUCAUCCUGUUCAACAUCUUCUUCAGCAUCGUUAUCUUCCUCAGCUUCAACUCCGGAGUUCUACCAGACAACAAUAUGGAAAUAGAGUUAGUGCAUGCAAGAUGGAUUAAUGAUGCAAUGAAAAGAUGUGAAAAUAGUUCAUUACUUGUCGAGAAUUGGAACCGUUGUGCGAGCUAGGAGUUUCCAGAUUAUGCCUUCCUUCUGAAGCUAACAUCAAUUCCAUUCGGUUCAUUCGUUCCUCCAUUUGUUGCACAUGCCCCUGGAGCAUGUUAAAGUGAUUUUCAGCUUCUCGGCGCCCUUCCAUUGCAACUAGAACUCUUGUGCUCAGUUUACCCCGUGUACCCGGUGUGCCCAAAUCUUGAGGUGUUGGCCCUAGACCUAACACACGGACACGACCCUUGGGCUCCUUUAGUCCACAUACACGUGCAAACAAAUCACCUUCUUUAAUGCUUUUGUCCUUCCAUUCAGGGUGCUUUUCAGCACUCUCUAUGAGUUCUUUCUGCAAAAUGAUAUUUACUUGCUCUAUAAAUUGUACUUGUACAAUUUUGGAGUAAUACUGAAAAACAUGGCAAAAGAGACUUACAAUUGUUGCUGCUGCCUGCGGCACAUAACUCCCUUUCCUUUCCCCUUUCUUGCAUGUAUGCUUUUCGAUAUAAACUUGAUCUCUCCGAGGAUCAUACCCAAGUUUGACAGCCUAUAAUCAUUUAUUUAUUUCAAUAUGCAUUAGUCACUGAAUCACAGUGGCAUAUCAUUUAUAAUUGCGGUAAUUAUUUUUACCAUUUCAGUGGCAACACGGGCAUGACUCUUGCUGCCAGAUGUAUGAGGUACUGCAUUGGCACGAUUCUUUUUGGCGAUAGCACUACAAGACUACAAGCAAAAAGUAAAGGAGAUUUAUCACACACAUUGUUUGUGUUUUGAGAAUCAUUACAUGCAUAUUUGUUUAUCUAUGUCCAGGAGAGAGUGUGCUGCAAAGAUACACUACAAUUUUGAUUAGCAGGAUGACUUACUUCAAAUGUCGAAGAUCUCCAAUAAGUAAUAAGGGUCUUCCAGUCAGCUUCACUAAUUCUGUUGUCACGUCUUUUCAUAAGGUGUGCAUCAGUGAGCGCAGCAUCAAACUUGUACCUCUUUAAAUCUGACUUCCAAUCCUUCCAUUUUAUGUGUGAAGUGUUGAUAACAAAGCUCAAAGCAGUUGAGUCCAGCUCAUAAAAUGCCUACUAAAAUGAGAGAAAACAGGACACUCAGUUAGAUGGCAUUAAAAAAGAGUGUGUAAGUUAUAAAUUAUGCUCAUUUCUACCUUCAAGGUCUCCCACACUAACAACUUUUUCUCUACAUCAACAUCUUGCCAAUCUAACUCUGCAGGUGGUAUAUCAAAGUACCAAUGAAAUUGGCAAAUUCAGUUGCAUCUGGCUCAACAGGCUGGCCAUCCCCAUUAAGUGGAAUAUGGAUUUUGGGUUGAUUCAGCCUUGCAUAUAUGUUAGCCUUACGUGCAAUUUAAACCACUCAUGAAAGGUCUCGUAAUGCACAUGCUUGACUUCUCGAUGACUUCUAACACCAACAGAAGAAAGGUAAUCCAUAUGUUUGCUGCAUAUAGGUUAUAUUUAUCAAUUGACAAGGAGGAGAGAGAUAACCUAAUAGCAAUACAUAGUAGGGAUAUCUUACUCUAGGUAUGGUUCUAUGUUGUCAUAAUUGAACAAGACGUAUCUGUGGGCUUGCAGCCAAGUUUUGUUAUCUAACAUCGCCAUGCACUUGCCAGCCAGCCCUCGACCAAUGUUGUGGAAGAAAGGAGUUGUAUCAUCAACUUCCCUAUCCAAACCUCCAUCAUUCCUAGCUCGAUUGAACCGACUCUCAUCAUCCAAAUAGUGUGAGCAAAAUGUCAAGCUCUCAUCAAACAAAUAGCCCUCUGCAAUUGAUCCUUCCACAUGACUUCUGGUGUGGACAUGUCCCUUGAGCUUUACUAUAUACCUCUCUACAGCCCACAUGCUGCGAAAAUGUACUGGACCAGCUAUCAUUGCUUGUGCUGGAAGAUGAACCAUCAAAUGCACCAUAAUAUCGAAAAAUGAUGGGAGGAAUAUGGCCUCAAGAAGGCUCAAGGUCUCAGCUAUUUCAUCCUGCAACCUUUGCAUGUCACUUAUGCGAAUAACCUGUGAGUACAUUCGCUUGAAAAAUCUGCUCACAUGAAUCAGUACCGCACUCACUCUUUCUGGUAAUGUUCUUCUCACUUCAAGUGGCAACAAGUCUUGCAAAAGGACAUGGUUGUCAUGGCUCUUUAGCCCAGUUAUCUUUUUCUCCUUAACAUGCACCUUACGGCGUAUGUCAGAUGCAUAACCAUUAUGAAACAUGGCAUUUUUAAAUACUUUGCAAAAUGUCCUCUGCUGAUCAGAUUCCAUUGUGUAAGGUGCCGGAGGAAAAAAACUUCAUCAUCAUCAAGAUCAAUAGGUUGAAGAUCCUUUCUAAUAUUGAGUGCUUGAAGGUGAUGUCGAGAAUUAAUAUUAUCCUUGGUUUUUCCAUUGACUGCCAACAAAGUGUUAACUAUGUUCUCACACACAUUUUUUCUAUGUGCAUGAUAUCAAAGUUAUGAUGCAUCUUCAAAUCCUUCCAAUAUGGUAGUUUAAACCAAAUAGACUUUCUUUUCCAAAUGAUCAGCGGAUCCCCUUUCUUGCGUUUCUUAGUUCUAGGCUUCUUCGUUAUAGGAUCCUUCCCAAACUUGGUUUGCAUAUUUUCUGUCAGCUCUAAGAUUUGCCUACCGGAAAGUGGAACGGGUGUUGUCCCACGUUCUAUGUUACCAAAUGUGUGUGUAUCAUACCUCAAGGGUUGUUCUGCACGUAAGAACCUACGAUGCCCCAUAUAGCAAGUCUUGCUACCAUUUUUUAGCCCAAGAGAACAUAAUUGAGAGUGGCAUUCAGGGCAAGCUCCUUCUCCAGAGGAAGCACAGGCAACCAAAGACCCAAGACCCGGUUUAUUUGUAAUUGUGCAUAUUAUGGCAGCAUGCAACUGAAAAUACUCUCUGGUUGAAGCAUCAUAGGUCCUAACACCAUCGAGAAACAUAUCUACCAUAUCAUCAACUAGUGGCUCAAGAUAGACAUCAAUAUCACUACUAGGAUAAUUUCUGCCAGGAAUCAACAUUGAUAGGAUGAAAUUUGAUUGCUUCAUAAUCAUCCAGGGUGGAAAGUUAUAAGGAAUCAAUAAUACUGGUCAAAUGCUAUAACUGAGAUUCAUGGAUCUAAACGGAUUAAAACCAUCGGCACAUACUACAAGCUUAAGAUUUCUGCUGUCUUUUGCAAAAUAUUUAUUUUUUUUCAUCAAAAUCUUUCCAAAGGAGGGAAUCUUUAGGAUGCCUAAUCAAGCCAUCUUAUGUGCGCUCUUCUGCAUGCCAUCUUGUGAGAGCCACAGUUCUGGAACACACAAACAACCUUUGAAGCCUCUUCUUUAUUGGGAAGUAACGAAGAACCUUCUUAGGAAGUGGACACGUUUCCCAUCUGUACUCUUCCUUUCAGAUUUCCAUCUUGAAGCCUUACAUUCUGGGCAUGAAUUGGCAUUGGCAGUGUUCUUCCAAAAUAGAAUGCAAUCAUUUUCACAUGCAUGGAUAUUAACAUACCCAAGUCCUAGGCAUUUGACUAGUUUUUUAGCUUCAUUGGAGUUUUUGGGUAUUGCAAACUGAGGGUAAGCAUCUUUUAGUAGAUCUAACAGCAGAUCAAAACUUCUAUCAGACCACCCUCCAAGAAGUUUGGUGUGAAGAAGUCUCACUAGGAAACGAAGCUUUGAGAAAUUCUUACAGCCUGGAUAUAGCUCUUGUCUAGAAUCAGCUUCAAGUUUGUGGAGAGAUUCUAGAAAAGAAUCAUCCUGAUCUAAACCACAAUCAUCUUCAAGAUCUCCCCCUUUAUCCAAACCAGUAGCAAGGUCUCUUAGCAAAUCAGAUAUAUCAUCGCCUCAUCCCUAUAGUCACCCUCAUCUAGAUUUGGAGGAACGGAAGAAGAAGAGACACGUUCUCCAUGAAACAUCCACUGUUUGUAGCCUUCUACAAAUCCCUCGCAUACCAGGUGCUCACGGACUUCAGACUCUUCUCUCCAGUACGAGUUCACAUAGUUUUUGCAAGGACAUAAGAUUUUAUUCUCAGCCGAUGAUUUAUUAAAUGCAUAGCCUAGGAAUUUGGCAAGCCCUUGUAAGUACUUCUUUGUAUGCCUACAUGCAAGUGUACAUGUGUAGUGUGUUAUAUAUAGUUUCAGCAUAUAAGCAAAACAAAAUAUAUAUGCGGCGUUAUACCUAGGCGCAUCCAUCCAACCUUUAUCCAUGGUAUCUUAGCUUCACAAUUGGUUACUACCAUGUCAACACUAAAUCCUGAACGAAUAAUAUCAAAACCAGAGAAUGCAAGGAAUCAAUUUAAGUACUGUAAAUAAAUUGGUGCGGAAAAGAAAUGAAGAAUCAUAGAACCAAUUCAAUGGUAGUACACAUAGUAAAGGCAGAUACCACCAUAAAUAAAAUGGAUCAAAGCUUUGGUUGACUCACCAACUGGUGGAGGAUGCAGCGACAAGCACGGGAGGGGGAUCGCUGCACCGCUGCUAGAAGCUGAGUCGUUGGCAGCAAGAAUCCUAAUAACCAAAAUAAUUAGACAAUAUAAAAGUCAGUGUCAAACAUGAGGAGGCAUCUCUACAUAUUCAUGACAUCCACACAUAUGGAGGGCCUCUGGACUUGAGUGGGGAAGAGAAACUCACCUAGUGGUUGCAGCAAAUAUUCUACAACUUCUCUUUGUCGGCUCAAUGUUACCAGCAGUGCUCCUCUUUGUUACCUAUAGAAAAAACAAGACAAAUGAACAAUUAGACUACAACUUUUGAGAUGCUGUGCUUUAUAUAUUUACAGCUCUCUCCCAUGUUUUCUUUCACUGCAAAAUCUACUUCAGUAAACAAAAGAGAAACUCUUUGUUACUGAAAUUUAGGUAUAACAUCAGGUCAGUUAAGUUGUAUGUUUUUAGAGACUCCAGCUUUUGGAUGUAUGUCCGAGUUGCAUGUUUUUAAAGGAAACAUGAUUCUAAAAGUCAAGAUGAUGUUUUUUAAUGAAGUAAUACAUUCUGUUGGCAAGGUCAAUCCAUAUGCAUGACAAUAUUUAGCUCCUCGGCGCUCUUUUUGUGUAUUAACUUUAUAGUUAAACUCUUCUUCAUUUGUCUUCAGAUCAUCCAGACAAGAAAACUCGACACCGAUGACUACAAAUUCCUUACUAUCGAGACGGUGGAAUUAAAGGACAGAACUGCAAUAAAAAAAAACAAAAUUUGCACACAACAACUCAACUUCUAGAAUUAGUUCAUAUUGCUACCACCAAGCUUCUACUCUGUACAUUGAUUAGCACAUUUUCUGCCUGCAUAGUAUCUCACAAUCAGACUAGCUGCAGUACACAUCAAACUGGAGAAGAAAAGCAAGAGGUGUAGCCAUUCCCUACUGCCGGAGCUCCCCGUUCCCCACCAGCCCACUCUCACAACAAAGCCUAGAGAGAGAGGGGGGAGGGAGGUAAAGACAGAGAGGGAAGAGUUGUACCUCAGCAUCGACCAUUGCCGCUGCCGCUGCGUGUCUUCGAGAGUUGGACAGUGGAGAUGGGGGAGGUCAGUCCAGGGAAGGUGGCUUGCCGCUUCCCAAGAUGCUCACACGCCUACUGCUGGUUAGAGAGAGGUGCCCGGAGAGAGAGAUCACUAGGCAUGAGGCCGGCGGUGGAGAGACAGGACGGCGUUGGGCGACAUUGACGGGGCAGGAUGGCGUGGGGCGGCGCUGUAGAGGGAGGGCGGCGGUGGAGCGGCGCCGCAGAGGGAGAGCGGCGUGGGGCGACGGUGGAGCGGCGCUGCAGAGGAAGGGCGGCGUGGGGCGGAGGUGGGACGACGUGGGGCGGCAGUGGGACAGCGUGGGAUCGACCGGCGGGAGCCCUGGCGGCGUGUGUGGGGAACGAAUACAUCGAGCUAGAGAUUUGGCUGUCCUGUGCAACGUGCGAGGGGAACGAAGGAGAUUGGGUUUUGGGGGGGAAAAUGUUCGCGGGUUGGGCCGUUUAUUGGAGCUAAAAUUUGGCCGUUCGCACGCAAGGCCCAGUUAGCUUCAGAAUGUCGGUCGACGUUAUUUACCGACCGACGGUCCGUGGGCCAUAACGGAUUUCCCAACCGACUGUUUGAUGAUAUAUGUUAUAGCAUUCCCGACCGAUAGUGUGUCACUGAACAGAUGUUUCCCGACCCACAGUCCGUUAGAAAUUUUUCUGAUAUAUUGUCGGUCGGCAAUGGUGACUUUUUCCCAACACACGCCAGUAGGGAAUUUUGGUGCAUGGUGUAGUGUAUGUUUUGGUGAUCAACUUGCGGGUUCAGUUACCUUGUGAACUUAUGCAUAGGGGUUGGCACACGUUUUCGUCUUGACUCUCCGGUAAAAACUUUGGGGCAUUUUUUGAAGUUCUUUGUGUUGGUUGAAUAGAUGAAUCUGAGAUUGUGUGAUGUGUAUCAUAUAAUCAUACCCACAGAUACUUGAGGUGACAUUGGAGUAUCUAGGUGACAUUAGGGUUUUGAUUGAUUUGUGUCUUAAGGUGUUAUUCUAGUAUGAACUCUAGGAUAGAACGAAUGGAAAGAAUAGCUUCGUGUUAUUUUACUAUGGACUUUUGAAUAGAUUGAUCGGAAAGAAUAACUUUGUGGUGGUUUCGUACUCCACAAUAAUCUCUUCGUUUGUUCUCCGUUAUUAGUGACUUUGGAGUGACUCUUUGCUGCAUGUUGAGGGAUUGUUAUAUGAUCUAAUUAUGUUAUCCUUGUUGAGAGGACUUGCACUAGUGAAAGUAUGAACCCUAGGCCUUGUUUCGAAGCAUUGCGAUACCGUUUGCGCUAACUUUUAUCAUUAGUUACCUUGCUGUUUUUAUAUUUUUCAUAUUACAAAAACCUAUAUCUACCAUCCAUAUUGCACUUGUAUCACCAUCUCUUCGCCGAACUACUGCACCUAUAUAAUUUAUCAUUGUAUUGAGUGUGUUGGAGACACAAGAGACUCUUUGCUAUUUGGUUGCAGGAUUAUUUGAGAGAGACCAUCUUCAUCCUACGCCUCCCACGGAUUGAUAAACUUUAGGUCAUUCACUUGAGGAAAAUUUGUUACUGUCCUACAAACCUCUGCACUUGAAGGCCCAACAACGUCUACAAAAAGAAGGUUGUAUAGUAGACAUCAGGACUACUUCCAAAGAUCACUUACACCUCGCCAGGUUAUGUAAUAUGAGGUUUUCCCUUUUUUCGUGGAUUUGUUUCUUAAUCGUACGUCCAAAUUUCGAACCGUUUUCAUUGUUGGAUUUCUUACAUCGAGACCUUCAAAACUAGAUCCCAUGUUACUGGGUUUUGAUGAACAUUUUUUUCACGAAAGAAUCGGACAAAAAGUCAGAUGAAAAAACCAAACCAAGGCAUGUUAUCGGCACUUAUGAAACAUUCGAUGGUGCUGUACCUUAUGUUCCAUGUUUUGCGGAAUGGCCGUCAGAUGGUCACUGACCUUGCUGGAACUAUAUUGUCUUCAUAAAUUUAGCCAUGGAUAUGCAACACCUAGCAACACCUUCCAGUAGCUAAUGCUUACUUGUAUGAAUGAGUCUAGGUAUUUGAUGUAUCGGCUGCAUCUAGUGCUAAUCAUUAUGGUCACCUGUUAGCUCUUGGUGUGGGGUAACUGUGAGGGUAUAUUAUCUAUGUUUGAAAUUGGUUGGAUUUUCACCUCUUUAUUUUUCGUUUAAGACUGGAGAUGCUUAUCUCUUGUUGCAAGUACAUUUAUCUUUUAUGGACAACUUGUUAUCCAUCAGUUCUGAAUAUUGAUAUCGCCUUGUUCUUAUGCACAUGUUAAAGACUGGAGAUGCCUAUCUCUUGUACGUUUAUUAUUCUUCCAUUUUAUUUCACUUCAUUAGGGGAAGAGGAUUUUUCGAGGGGAGGAGAAUAACAUGACCCUCCAGUGUAUUUUUAGUUCUUGUUUCG
rnacentral:lncRNA from 1 species